GUAUAUGUGCAAUGUAAAGUAAUUACUGUGUAAAAUUAGAUUUUUUUUCCUGUACUGCUCCAACAACUGGAAAGUUGAACGAUACGAUCAAGUUUAAAUUCGAUUGAAGAGUGCACAAAAUGGGUAAAGGAAGUCAGCGUAAAUGCAGAUGCUCCAGUGGAUAGCGCGAGCUUCAAACCAAAUGCUAUUGCGAGAUUGCUUUCAGGCAUUGGCACAGUGAAUGGCAGCUGAAAAAUUUUGACCCUUGUUUCUGGAAGUGAAAUGUUAGAUGGUUUGAUGAAGUGCCACAGAGAUUAUCGCUUAAAGAAUGCGUGCAGGCCAACCACCAACACAAGAUAUUAAAAGAGCAAUGAAAAUGAAGAUUUAACUAUAA